AGGGAGGUUUGGGGAGAAAGGCAAGCGGCCACAGUGUCUCAUGGAUGAUUCACGUUCUGGGGCCCAGUGGGACUCUGUCCUCAGGGCUGAGGGUGUUUACAAAGCGAGGACCCCGGCCCUGCUGAGUGACUUAAACUUCUACCCUUCUCAAGAUGAUACAGUGGUCCGCAUCCUAGGGAGUUCUGGAAGUCUUCUUCCUCUAAUGCUGUGCCAAUCUGAACUAGACACCUGCAAGAUGAGAUUCCAUGUGGAAGACAAAUAGUGCUCUCCAUUUGAUUUCCAGCCUCCUGCCAAAUGUAAAUGAGAUGAAGGAAUCAGCCAGUCCCAGAGGACUCACCUACUCACCACAAGCCAGCAGCUGACAUAACGACGUGAUCCGCCGUAGCAAAGAAACAGAAGAAUCACCCAGCUGAACCCAGCCCAGUUUACUGACCCGUAAAAUUGUGAACUAAAUAAAACAGUCGUGGUUUGA